GGGUGGUCUCCGGUCCUGGUCGGACAUGAGAUGCCCAUUAUGGCAAGGCCCCAUAUCGGGUCAUGUCAACGGACUAUAUGGGUUCAGAUCCUCCUAGUGAACGGGUCCUAGUAUGUGUUAGCCGCACGAAUCGAGGAAAUCUAAAAGAUAGAUAGAGACACUAGGGCUCCAGCCAUCCCAAAAAUAUAAUGUGUGAACAAAGCACAUGGUCACAUAGACCCCCACGCCGGCAAAUGUGGUUUUCUGUAUCAAUCCCC
rnacentral:lncRNA from 1 species